UUUCAGGGACGGGCAGGCACCGGAGAGCCAAGCAGCAGAUCUGCUGGGAAGUGGUCAGAUUUUCGGAGCCCUUAAGGAAGUUCUGUACCUUUUGAAUGGUGUUCAGAGAAUCAAGAGUGUUCAACAUCAUUUGCAAUAACUCAGUGGGAUCUGAAGGACUGAGCCUCUGGUUGGGACCCUCCACUGCCCUGAGUUCUGGACCUACCAUUACCACUGUCUCUACAACAUCAGCACUCAGACUUAGGGUGAUCUCCCAGUCUAUCAGGUACAGAGUACUUCAUUAUGUGCACGACCAGAAAUGCUUAAAUGGAUGAAGCAGCUAUUUACAUCUGAUAGGAGCUAAGUGGGACACUAAAUUAAUGCCAAACAAAUGGUGGGAUGCACCCAGAAAGAGAUGACCUGUUGGAUAACCCGUGCCCAAACCUGACCUAGGUGAAAAAUUAGGAAUAGCAGAUAUUUGUAACGGUGACCCAGUAGUGAUGGACUCCCCAUGAGGAAUAACUGUGCUGACGGAGGAAGUUUCUCCCCAGUCUCAGGAUUUUUGCCUUAAAGGAUUUUGUUGCGUUGAGUUCCUCGCUUAUUCACCUGGAGCAAGGCAAGAAAAAUAAGAACCUGAACCUCUUUAAUCGUAGCCGUGAAACGAAGGUUAGUGAGACUUUAAUCAAGAAAAAAAUAAAAUAUCUAAUGAACAGCAAUUUGAAACACAGCAUUUGGAAAGGUCAAAAUGGUACAUUACAUCCUUAUUAUCCAAAAGAACAGAUGAGUUUAAUAUCCUGGCAGCAUUUUCCUGUGAAGAAGAUAUUAAACAAGAAUUGAAAAUGGCACAAGGUUCCCUCUUCCUUCCUUAUGACAAAGAUUGUAACAAGGUGAUGAAACUCUACAGAAUAAAUCUUUCUGCUUUAAUGUUCAGGCUGUGGAUCCUGCCUAGAUUUCAAAAGCUAACCAAAGAGCCAAUACCCACGGUCUUUGUUUCAGGUCCUCUACAACACAUUUUCCUGCUUACAUUACUCAGUUUCCAUUAAUAUUUUCUAGUCUUAAAGGUGGGAGGAGAUGUUAACAGAAGGGACACGGUGCAAUGAGUUUUGGCAAGUGCUCAUGGUGUUGAAGUGCAAAAAAAUAAUGCACUGCAUCAGCACUGCUUACAAUGCAGAUUUUUCAGCUUUUCUUUGAAUAGACCUAAGAACAGAGAUAAUGUAUUCCAACACACAAAGCAUUGCACGUGUCCUGCUUUGGAGAGUCCCUGAAGGUAUGGAACUGUUUGAAGGCAAAGGAAUUUGUAGUGUAUCCCUUCAGUUGUUAACCAUUUGAUUACUAUAAGGAACUGUCACAAUUUGCUUCCGUAAAUCACUGGCUGCGGGAAGACUCUUCUUUUUACUUUAUAGCUCUAAGGAGAGAAAAUAACCUACUGGAACUUGAUGUUGUAUUUUAACACUAAAAUACACCAGCAGGGUCCUCAUGUUUAAAUCUUAUUAUGACAAUUGAACAAAUGCUAUGCUUAAAAAAUCAAAAAAUGAGUAUAUGGUUGCACUUUUAUUAGUUGCUUGUAUUCAUUCCACAUGAGAUACGAGAAUUCUGCUAUUGUGUAAGAAUGUAACGAGUUAUAUAUUAAAGGUGUUCAUAAUUAUUAAAGAAAACACUUUAUAUUAUUCCAAAAGAUAUCUGUCUUGAAGUAUUGCUGGCUGAAGUAGAUGUACACAGAUUUGCACAAGCUCAAAAGCAGAAAUCAUAUCGAACCACUUUUUUCCACACCAUCUAGGGAAUAGAUUUGAAAAAAAAUUCUCCAUGGUACAUUACAGACAACAUGAGAAGAGACACUCUGCUUUGGUCAAGAGAGAUAAAACAAACAUAUCCAAAAUAUGUUUUCAAUGUCUCCAGUGAAUAUAUAUCUAUAUAUAUGUGUGUGUGUAUAUAUAUCCUUGGUUUUUUUUCUUUUCCUUCGGUGAUUUUAUU